rfam:Dehalobacter sp. CF, complete genome.
GGGGGCGUUUUAGACUCGCUCGGGGGAGCAAUGGCAAGAGUUGCGUGUCGAGAUCCCGCUUGACCUCGUUAAACAGCGGACAAACAAUAACUGACAAAACAAAUUACGCUUUAGCAGCUUAAGCUGCUACAUCCUGCCUUCUUAACCUGCGGGGAAGGUCCAGGGUGUCAAAUUAGCAGGAAAACUUGUGCGGCCACCGUCUGAGGCCAAAACAAGGAUUAACCAGACUGGCUUCAAAGGAAUCCCGCUUUCAGGAGUCCCGCGAAGCGAGAAUUAAAAUGAGAGCUACACACGUAGAUGCUUUUGGUAUUGUCUUUCGAUACAGGGGUGCAAGUCCCCUCGCCUCCACCA